rnacentral:lncRNA from 1 species
ACAAUAUUGAGUCUCUUAGUCUCUGAGCAUGUCUAUCUUUUAGUUUAUUUAGCUCUUCUCUGAUUUUUCUUUAAUCAAACAUUUUAUGGUAUUUAGCCUUCAGAUCUUGCAUACAUUUAGGUAGAUUUAAUUGAUAUUUUAUGUUUCCUACUGCCUUUGUAUGAUACUGUUUUUUAAAUUUGAAUUUCUAGUUGUUCACUGCCAAUAUCUACUAAUACAGGUCAUUUUGUAUAUUGACCUCGUAUGCUA